CCUACGGGAGGCUGCAGUGGGGAAUAUUGCACAAUGGGGGAAACCCUGAUGCAGCGACGCCGCGUGAGUGAAGAAGUAUUUCGGUAUGUAAAGCUCUAUCAGCAGGGAAGAAAUAAAGUCCUUCGGACUUUGGACGGUACCUGACUAAGAAGCCCCGGCUAACUACGUGCCAGCAGCCGCGGUAAUACGGAGGGUGCGAGCGUUAAUCGGAAUCACUGGGCGUAAAGCGCGCGUAGGCGGCUUUUCAAGUCAGGGGUGAAAUCCCACGGCCCAACCGUGGAACUGCCUUUGAAACUGUAGAGCUUGAGUGUCGGAGAGGGUGGCGGAAUUCCAGGUGUAGGAGUGAAAUCCGUAGAUAUCUGGAGGAACACCGGUGGCGAAGGCGGCCACCUGGACGACAACUGACGCUGAGGUGCGAAAGCGUGGGUAGCAAACAGGAUUAGAUACCCGAGUAGUC
rnacentral:rRNA from 1 species